GGCAAGGGGUAGAAAAGGCAGGCAAGGGUGUAGAGAAGGCAGGCAACGGGCAGAGACUGCAGGCAGGGGAUAUGAAAGAGAGCCACAGGUUAGGGAAGAGUGGCAGGCGUGGCAGAGAAGGCGUGGUGGGGUUGGCGGGAGAGGCAGCACCUGUGGUGACCGCUUUGUUUACAAACAACCUCCCCCUCCCCCCCACCGCCCAUUGCCUGCCCUUUGUUCCUGGGUGACAUGUGUUUGCUAGUGUUACCGCCCCCUGUGCCCCGCCCUCGCUCUCAUCCCGCCCUCCUCCACCUACUCUUGUCCUCUCGCCCACCACCAAGGUGGCUGGCCCGCCGCCCCCUUGCGGCCAGUGAGGAACACCUGCCCGCAGUGUACGCAGCGCCCAUGGUGUCCAAGUGACCUCUGAUGUAUUACCUUACCAGCGACGACGAAGGUGAUGCCGGAGACGAAGGUGAGGAAGCGACGCCUCCUGCAGCAGUGGCCGUUGAGGCAGAGGACCUCCGCCACCGUCAGCAGCGCCGCCGCCGUCAGGAAGUACCCCGCUG